rnacentral:snRNA from 1 species
CGCUUGCAAUUUGAAAUUCAUA